UUUCUGCUCAUCAGCCUGACCUCCUCUGUCUCUGAACAGUUUCUCUUGAACGUGACCUCUCAUGGAGAGAACAGUGACGUGAUCCUCACCACACCUGAAGCUGUAAAACAAACACCAGGAGGGCCGGAGGAGGAAGAAGACACAUCAUAUGACUGGAAGAACGAUAAAACUACUCAAGAAGCUGUAGCUGGUGGACUUCUGUUAAUUGCUGCUGUAAUAGCUCUAGUCGCUGCAGCUGAAAGAUGUGUAGCUACACUCAUUCGUCGAGUUAAAAGAAAGUCAAGACCAGUAUAGAUGUUCCCUCGCUGAGCUCAUCAGAAAGAUCAAAACCAAGUUACAUCCACAACCACAACUGCUCCAGGUGUGAACAGAUCCAGACCACAAGUCAGUCUGGUCCAAAGUGUCUGAAUGAAGCAACGUGAGGAAUAUAAAGUUCCUGUCAGUUCUUCUUCAUGCAGCGUUUACCAACAGGAACUAACGUGAACAAAGACUCACAGAGUGUGCAGCAUGUUUAAGUCUCUGCGUGUUGAUUUCACCGCAAACUGAAAUAAAAUGAAACCAGCAGCAGCCUGGAGGAGAAGACAAACAUCCAACAUGUGACGUUAGGACUUUGAGUCAUGCUGUUUUAAUCUGACGUUUAUGUGCUGUCAGAAAAGAUGUUUUACAAUAAUUAAUAAUGGUUACAUUUCAGAUACAUUUUAAGCAUCAUUCAAGUAUUAAUUUGCUUUUUGUGUGUAUUUUUGUUAUUUCUGCUUUUAUACAAAAGUAUUUCAUCCUUCUGCAAAGCACUUUUGACUCUUUGAAGUGGCCCAACAAUAACUAAACUGAAACAUCAAUAAUAGACAUGAGAUGGAAACAAUGAAUCCAGCAUAAACACAUUAAACAUGCUUCUUUAGAAGCAGACAGAAAGUUUUAUUUUUCUGCAAAGCACUUUCUAAUCUAUGAAGCACUUUCUAACCUGUUUGUAAACAUAAAGUUUGACUACUGUUUUCCACUGUGUGAAAAUAUCCCUUGCUAUUUUAUGUAAUUUGACUGUAAGAGCAUGGAGGGACUGUGUUUUACAGAUGUGUAACAGACUGUAUAAACUUUGUAAGUGUUUUUCUGUAAACAGAUGUUUUCAGGGACUUUUUCAAUGUAUUUUCAACAUGACAUCUGAAUGUUUUCAUUGAUGUGGUGAAUUUGUCUAAACCAGUAGAAGCUCUGUAUUUUUAUAAAGAUAUAAAU